AGCCUAUAAAAAGUGUCAAAAAAUGAAAAAAAUAACAAAAAUGCCAGAUCUGUCCCUUUUAUUCAAAAGAAAUCUUAACUUAACCUGGGAUGCUAUAAAUAUAUAUAUAUUUAUAAAUACAAGCUAUAUUUAUAUACAUAUGUUUUAUUUGGGCUAUAUUUUUCCAAGCUGCGGAAGCAAAUUUCGAAGAAAAUUACAUGUGUACUAUUUUGUCAGAGCAGGUGUAAAUUUGAUUCACUGCUGUAAAAAUGUGUUUAAAAUAAAUAAUUGAUUAUUCUUUUUAUAUAAUACAACUCGGAAUUAAAAAAUAAAAGCACUGCAAUAUAUCCUGUUAACACAAAAGUCAAAACACCGUGAAAUGCAAAAGAGCCGUGACGUUCCUUUAAAGUGUAAUUCCUUUGGAGCACAGCUCGGCGGUUUGUGCAUGUACGUGGUCCAAAAACCAUAUAGGAAAAUAAAAGUUGUGUCUCACUAAAGUCCUCAGAGCGCUCACAUGUUUUCCCGUGCUCUUUCCUCCUUCUUUUUAACCAGCGCGCGAGAAGAGGAGCGAGCACGAUGACGUACUACUCGGGUAUGACGCGGGAGCGCGCAUGGGGCCACAGUCGCGUCCACGUCGAGCUCGGGACCACCUGGGCAGAGGCACGGCCCCUCCAGCAAUCAGACUGCAUGGGUACAAGCAGAGAGACACAUAAAGGAGGGCUCACACACACACACACACACACACACACACACACACACACACACACACACACACACACACACACACACACACUAAAUGAUGGCCACUCACACACACAGAGGUGAUGAACUCACACAUCUCCAGCCUCCACUGACCCAUAUCUGCUGAGCACAACUCCCGGGGUCUCGGGUGGAUGUCAGGAGUUGUGGUGGUUGUCAGUGAUGGUUGACCCUGCUCCAGUUCUCUGAUAUCUCCUGUCACACAUCACUGCCCAGGAAGCACUUUCCUUUCUCCUCUAGUCUCUACACACUUCAUCAUGCUGUCUGACUGCAGCACAGCUCAACCCACAGGCCUGUGAUGUGUGUGUGUGUGUGUGUGUGUGUGUGUGUGUGUGUGUGUGUGUGUGUGUGUGUGUGUGUGUGUGUGUGUGUGUGUGUGUGUGUGUGUGUGUGUGUAUUUCAAAGUCUAAAUAAAAAACAUAAUGAAGUUAAUCA
rnacentral:lncRNA from 1 species